ACGGGAGGCAGCAGUGAGGAAUAUUGGUCAAUGGGCGGAAGCCUGAACCAGCCAAGUCGCGUGAAGGAUGAAGGUAUUAUGUAUUGUAAACUUCUUUAGCAGUGGAGUAAUAAGGGGGAUGCAUCCCCUGAUGCAAGUACACUGAGAAUAAGGAUCGGCUAACUCCGUGCCAGCAGCCGCGGUAAUACGGAAGGUCCGAGCGUUAUCCGGAUUUAUUGGGUUUAAAGGGAGCGCAGGCGGAGAGGCAAGCCAGCCGUAAAAUCGUUGAGCUCAACUCAAUCUCGCGGUUGGAACUGCUUCCCUUGAGUGCACGAGAGGAUGGUGGAAUUCGUGGUGUAGCGGUGAAAUGCAUAGAUAUCACGAAGAACUCCGAUUGCGAAGGCAGCCAUCUGGCGUGUUACUGACGCUCAUGCUCGAAGGCGCGGGUAUCAAACAGGAUUAGAUACCCUGGUA
rnacentral:rRNA from 1 species